rnacentral:lncRNA from 1 species
CUCCCUCAGAAGUAUUUAAUGCAUUAGCUGGCCUCCUCUGCACAGGACAUUAUUACGAUUAUUUACGUCUGCACGUCGCUUCACGGUUUCCCAACACAUCCACGCGCACUAUCACGGGGCCCGGGGCCUCCCCGGUGGAUGCGUGCAAAGCAUUUGACCGGGGAGCGGGGAGUAACAUAACAAAGCCAGAGCAGAAGAAUCCUCGUGGUCAAGAAGACCUGGGUUCAAAUCCCAGCUCUGUCUCUUCUGGUCGUUUGACUUUGGGGACAUGAAUCAAUGUCUUUGAACCUCAGUGUCCUCACCGGUAAGAGAUCAUGAUUCUCAUGGGUCUGUUGUCAGGUU